rnacentral:rRNA from 1 species
AUUGAACGCUGGCGGCAGGCCUAACACAUGCAAGUCGAACGAGUGGCGGACGGGUGAGUAAUGUCUGGGAAUCUGCCCGCUGGUGGGGGAUGACCACUGGAAACUGUAGCUAAUACCGCAUACCCUCGGAUGCGCCAAGAUGGGAGUAGUUAGUAGGUGGGGUAACGGCUCACCUAGGCGACGAUCCCUAGCUGGUCUGAUAGGAUGACCAGCCACAUUGGAACUGAGACACGGUCCGGUCUCCUACGGGAGGCAGCAGUGGGGAAUAUUGCACAAUGGGCGCAAGCCUGAUGCAGCCAUGCCGCGUGUAUGAAGAAGGCCUUCGGGUUGUAAAGUACUUUCAGCGAGGAGGCGUUACUCGCAGAAGAAGCACCGGCUAACUCCGUGCCAGCAGCCGCGGUAAUUC